GAUGAACGCUGGCGGCGUGCCUAAUACAUGCAAGUCGAGCGAACAGACGAGGAGCUUGCUCCUUUGACGUUAGCGGCGGACGGGUGAGUAACACGUGGAUAACCUACCUAUAAGACUGGGAUAACUUCGGGAAACCGGAGCUAAUACCGGAUAAUAUGUUGAACCGCAUGGUUCAACAGUGAAAGACGGUCUUGCUGUCACUUAUAGAUGGAUCCGCGCCGCAUUAGCUAGUUGGUAAGGUAACGGCUUACCAAGGCAACGAUGCGUAGCCGACCUGAGAGGGUGAUCGGCCACACUGGAACUGAGACACGGUCCAGACUCCUACGGGAGGCAGCAGUAGGGAAUCUUCCGCAAUGGGCGAAAGCCUGACGGAGCAACGCCGCGUGAGUGAAGAAGGUCUUCGGAUCGUAAAACUCUGUUAUUAGGGAAGAACAAAUGUGUAAGUAACUAUGCACGUCUUGACGGUACCUAAUCAGAAAGCCACGGCUAACUACGUG
rnacentral:rRNA from 1 species